rnacentral:rRNA from 1 species
GAUCAAGCGAAAAAGAGCGUAUGGUGGAUGCCUUGGCACUAGACGCCGACGAAGGACGUGAUAAGCUGCGAAAAGCUACGGGGAGCCGCAAAUAGGCCGUGAUCCGUGGGUGUCCGAAUGUGGGAACACAUCAGGGUUAACCCCCUGAUACCGUUAUAUGAAUACAUAGUGUAGCGGAGGGAACCUGGGGAAUUGAACCAUCUU